GCUGGGCACAGUGGCAUAUACCUGUAAUCCCAGCGGCUUGGGAGGCUGAGGCAGGAGGAUUGUGAGUUCAAAGACAACCUCAGAAACUUAGUGAGGCCCUAAGCAACUCAGCAAGACCCUGUCUCUA
rnacentral:sRNA from 1 species